rnacentral:rRNA from 1 species
GAUGAACGCUGGCGGCGUGCCUAAUACAUGCAAGUCGAGCGAACAGACGAGGAGCUUGCUCCUCUGAUGUUAGCGGCGGACGGGUGAGUAACACGUGGAUAACCUACCUAUAAGACUGGGAUAACUUCGGGAAACCGGAGCUAAUACCGGAUAAUAUAUUGAACCGCAUGGUUCAAUAGUGAAAGACGGUUUUGCUGUCACUUAUAGAUGGAUCCGCGCCGCAUUAGCUAGUUGGUAAGGUAACGGCUUACCAAGGCGACGAUGCGUAGCCGACCUGAGAGGGUGAUCGGCCACACUGGAACUGAGACACGGUCCAGACUCCUACGGGAGGCAGCAGUAGGGAAUCUUCCGCAAAGGGCGAAAGCCUGACGGAGCAACGCCGCGUGAGUGAUGAAGGACUUCGGAUCGUAAAACUCUGUUAUUAGGGAAGAACAAAUGUGUAAGUAACUAUGCACGUCUUGACGGUACCUAAUCAGAAAGCCACGGCUAACUACGUG